GCCGGGCAUGGUGGUGCAUGCCUGUAAUCUCAGCUACUCAGGAGGCUGAGGCAGGAGAAUCGCUUGAACCCAGGAGGCAGAGUUUGCAGUAAGCCAAGAUUGCACCCUGCACUCCAGCCUGGGUGACAGAGUGAAACUGUACCUCAAAAAAAACAAAACUACCUAAGACUGGGUAAUUUGAGACAGGGUGUCACUCUGUCACCUAGGCGUGAGUGCAAUGGGAUCACUGCUCACUGCAGCCUCAACUUCCUGGGCUCAAGCAAUCCUCCUGCCUCA
rnacentral:sRNA from 1 species